rnacentral:tRNA from 1 species
GCCGAUGUAGCUCAGUUGGCCAGAGCUACUGAUUUGUAAUCAGUGGGUCGGGGGUUCGGAAUCCCUCCAUCGGCU